UACGUAGGGUGCAAGCGUUGUCCGGAAUUAUUGGGCGUAAAGAGCUCGUAGGCGGUUUGUCGCGUCUGCUGUGAAAACUCGGGGCUUAACUCCGGGCCUGCAGUGGGUACGGGCAGACUAGAGUGCGGUAGGGGAGACUGGAAUUCCUGGUGUAGCGGUGAAAUGCGCAGAUAUCAGGAGGAACACCGGUGGCGAAGGCGGGUCUCUGGGCCGUAAACUGACGCUGAGGAGCGAAAGCGUGGGGAGCGAACAGG
rnacentral:rRNA from 1 species